rnacentral:rRNA from 1 species
AUGGAGAGUUUGAUCCUGGCUCAGGACGAACGCUGGCGGCGUGCUUAACACAUGCAAGUCGAACGAUGAAGCCCAGCUUGCUGGGUGGAUUAGUGGCGAACGGGUGAGUAACACGUGAGUAACCUGCCCUUGACUCUGGGAUAAGCGCUGGAAACGGCGUCUAAUACCGGAUACGACCUGCCCCGGCAUCGGGUGCGGGUGGAAAGUUUUUCGGUCAAGGAUGGACUCGCGGCCUAUCAGGUAGUUGGUGAGGUAAUGGCUCACCAAGGCGACGAUCCGUAACUGGUCUGAGAGGAUGAUCAGUCACACUGGAACUGAGACACGGUCCAGACUCCUACGGGAGGCAGCAGUGGGGAAUAUUGCACAAUGGGCGAAAGCCUGAUGCAGCAACGCCGCGUGGGGGAUGACGGCCUUCGGGUUGUAAACCGCUUUCGCCUGUGACGAAGCGUGAGUGACGGUAAUGGGUAAAGAAGCACCGGCUAACUACGUGCCAGCAGCCGCGGUAAUACG